GGUCCCGUGGCUCAGUGGAAGAGCGUCCGCUUCACACGCGGAAGGUCGCUGGUUCGAUCCCAGCCGGGACCACUA
rnacentral:tRNA from 2 species